GAUGAACGCUGGCGGCGUGCCUAAUACAUGCAAGUCGAGCGAACAGAUAAGGAGCUUGCUCCUUUGACGUUAGCGGCGGACGGGUGAGUAACACGUGGGUAACCUACCUAUAAGACUGGGAUAACUUCGGGAAACCGGAGCUAAUACCGGAUAAUAUUUCGAACCGCAUGGUUCGAUAGUGAAAGAUGGUUUUGCUAUCACUUAUAGAUGGACCCGCGCCGUAUUAGCUAGUUGGUAAGGUAACGGCUUACCAAGGCGACGAUACGUAGCCGACCUGAGAGGGUGAUCGGCCACACUGGAACUGAGACACGGUCCAGACUCCUACGGGAGGCAGCAGUAGGGAAUCUUCCGCAAUGGGCGAAAGCCUGACGGAGCAACGCCGCGUGAGUGAUGAAGGUCUUCGGUUCGUAAAACUCUGUUAUUAGGGAAGAACAUACGUGUAAGUAACUGUGCACGUCUUGACGGUACCUAAUCAGAAAGCCACGGCUAACUACGUG
rnacentral:rRNA from 1 species